CUUGGUCCUAAUGCGAGUCGGAUUUCAAAGAGAAAUAAAACAGCUGAUCGUGGUCCUACACGCCGGAAAAAUGGGUUUCCUUGGGAAUUACCUAGAGGUGUGGCUGCUCACCCCCGUCCAUUCUCUGCUUCUCGGUAGUCCUCAAUAGCUAGACGGAGCUUCCUGCGGUGCAUGGGGCUGUUGAUGCCCAAACCCAGCUCCAGGUCCUCAUCGGUCAACCCCAGCAACACCUGCAGCAAGAAGCAGCUCACUGUGACAUCAUCACAUCACAUCACCGUGAGGCACGCAUGUACAUGGGCAUUGCCAUGACAACCUCCAACCAGGCCUGCACAGUGACCGCCCUCCACAGAGACAUGGGCUUGCUGCGUGUAAGCUCCGCCUGCUGCAGCCGCUCCAGCUGCUCCUCGCCAUCUGAU